rnacentral:rRNA from 1 species
GGAAUUUUGGACAAUGGGGGCAACCCUGAUCCAGCAACGCCGCGUGAGGGAUGAAGGUUUUCGGAUUGUAAACCUCUUUUGUAAAGGACGAAUCAUUCCGUGAAGAGCGGAAAAUGCCGGUACUUUACGAAUAAGCCACGGCUAACUACGUGCCAGCAGCCGCGGUAAUACGUAGGUGGCGAGCGUUACUCGGAAUUACUAGGCGUAAAGGGCAGGUAGGUGGUUGGACAAGUCCGUAAUGAAAUCUCCCGGCUUAACUGGGAGGGGUUUAGGGAUACUGUCCGGCUUGAGUUUGGUAGAGGUAACUGGAAUUCCUGGUGUAGCGGUGAAAUGCGUAGAUAUCAGGAGGAACACCUAUGGCGAAAGCAGGUUACUGGACCAACACUGACACUGAGCUGCGAAAGCUAGGGGAGCAAAC